rnacentral:lncRNA from 1 species
CCAAAACUCAACUUCAAAUUUAAAGUUAAAAUUCAAAUUUUUAUUUAUAAGACCAAAAAGAAAAAGAAAAAAAAUUAAGGGAUUGUUUAGAUGGGGCUAAACUUUUUAGCCACAUAUCACCUCGGAUGUUUGGACACUAAUUUAAAGUAUUAAACAUAGACUAAUAAAAAACUAAUUUCAUAAAUGAGAGCUAAUCACAAGACGAUUUUUUUAACCUAAUUAAUCCAUAAUUAGUAAAUGUUUACUGUAGCAUCACAUAGGCUAAUCAUGGAUUAAUUAGGCUUAGUACAUUCGUCUCACGAAUUAGUCCAAGAUUAUAGGUGAAUUUAGUUCUUAUAAACAAACACCCCUAAGACGAUAGAUAGCUAUAGAGUUCCUUAUGUUUCUUGUCGGUCAGGGUGAAAGCUGAGGCCAUGCAGUGACAUGGUGUGGAGCUUCGACCGUCCAGCUAGGAGAUUCCUCUCCAGCUAGGAGGGAGUCGUGCCCCCUGCAAGCUUCUCGCCUCCUCUCUAAGAUCCAGUUGCUUCGCAGGCUUUUUGUGUCUUUUUGUCAGAAAGUUGAAGAGAGAAGGCCAGGCCGCUCGGCGAGCUCCGCCGCCGCCAGGACGCGCCCGAGCUCUUCCGCCGCCGGGGGGACGUGCCCCGAGCUCCUCCGCCGCCGGGACGCG